UGAUGGGGAUAACAGUUGGAAACGACUGCUAAUACCGAAUACGCUCAUAAUGAACUUUAUGAGGAAAGGUGGCCUCUGCUUGCAAGCUAUCGCAUAGAGAUGAGUCCGCGUCCCAUUAGCUAGUUGGUGGGGUAACGGCCUACCAAGGCAACGAUGGGUAGCCGAUCUGAGAGGAUGAUCGGCCACACUGGAACUGAAACACGGUCCAG
rnacentral:rRNA from 1 species